rnacentral:rRNA from 1 species
UACGUAGGGUGCGAGCGUUAAUCGGAAUUACUGGGCGUAAAGAGUGCGUAGGCGAUUCUUGAAGUCCGCUGUGAAAGCCCCGGGCUUAACCUGGGAACUGCAUUGGUGACUGCAUUGCUGGAGUAUGGCAGAGGGGGGUGGAAUUCCACGUGUAGCAGUGAAAUGCGUAGAGAUGUGGAGGAACACCGAUGGCGAAGGCAGCCCCCUGGGCCAAUACUGACGCUCAUGCACGAAAGCGUGGGGAGCAAACAGG